AGAGCAGGUCGGGCGGUCGCCGCUACGCGAAAGCGUGGGGGAGGAAAGUCCGAACACCACAGGGCAGCGAGCCCGCUAACGGCGGGGCGCGCGAAAUGAACGGGCGGCUUUCGAGUCGUCUCUCUUUCGCGCGACGACAAGUGCAACAGAGAACAGACCAGCCAGCGGGCGACUCCGGUCGCAGCGGGUGAUGGGUGAAACGACGGUGUAAGAGACCGUCAGCGCGCGUGGCGACACGCGCGGCUGGGCAAACUCCUCGCGGUGCAAGACCAAAUAGGGAGGCGUCACAGGGCUGCCCGCCCGAAGCCGCGCUGACGCGAGUCGGCGCGCUACGACCUCCGGGUAGGUCGCUCGACCCGUCCGGCAACGGCCGGGCUAGAUGAAUGAUCGCCGCCGCGCUUCGGCGCGGGACAGAAUUCGGCUUACAGACCUGUUCUCACC
rnacentral:RNase_P_RNA from 1 species